rnacentral:lncRNA from 1 species
UCUGUAUUAUACAAUGUAAUGUAAUUUUAUUAUAUUAGAUAAAUUAAAAAAGUGUGUUGGUUAAAUUAAUAUAAAAUAAUUCCAAAAAAAAUAAUAUGCAUAAUCUAUUAAAACUUUAUUCAUACUUAAAAAAUAUUCAAAACAAAACAAAUUCCUUAUUUUUAAUAGUGAUAGUGUUUCAAUUUCAGCAUGUAAAUAUAAUCAGGUGUAAGACUUAGGUUUGGUUCCACCAUCAUCGUAUAACAAUGCUGUCAGUAGAUAACAUUCAAUGUAACAACAGAUCAUUCCACCAUGACUUCGUUAGCAAUAUUUACUGGCAGCAAAUAGCUGGCACUGUGAUUAUUAUUUACAUUUCUGGUAAAAUGCAUAUUGAUCAAAUUAAACAUGUGAUAAGAAAUGAUGCUAUAACAGCACAUGUACAUUCCAAGAUGGCUACUGUCAGAAGUAGACAAUACUGUUAGCCUAAAUAUUCAAAAUAAUUUUAGAUGGUGCAUUUUCUGAUAUAUAUGGUUUAUUACUAAAGGUGAGAUUGACUAGUUCAUGAAAGGUUAUAUGAAAGGUG